rnacentral:rRNA from 1 species
GAUGAACGCUGGCGGCGUGCCUAAUACAUGCAAGUCGAGCGAACAGACGAGGAGCUUGCUCCUCUGACGUUAGCGGCGGACGGGUGAGUAACACGUGGAUAACCUACCUAUAAGACUGGGAUAACUUCGGGAAACCGGAGCUAAUACCGGAUAAUAUAUUGAACCGCAUGGUUCAAUAGUGAAAGACGGUUUUGCUGUCACUUAUAGAUGGAUCCGCGCCGCAUUAGCUAGUUGGUAAGGUAACGGCUUACCAAGGCAACGAUGCGUAGCCGACCUGAGAGGGUGAUCGGCCACACUGGAACUGAGACACAGUCCAGACUCCUACGGGAGGCAGCAGUAGGGAAUCUUCCGCAAUGGGCGAAAGCCUGACGGAGCAACGCCGCGUGAGUGAUGAAGGUCUUCGGAUCGUAAAACUCUGUUAUUAGGGAAGAACAAAUGUGUAAGUAACUAUGCACGUCUUGACGGUACCUAAUCAGAAAGCCACGGCUAACUACGUGCCAGCAGCCGCGGUAAUACGUAGGUGGCAAGCGUUAUCCGGAAUUAUUGGGCGUAAAGCGCGCGUAGGCGGUUUUUUAAGUCUGAUGUGAAAGCCCACGGCUCAACCGUGAGGGUCAUUGGAAACUGGAAAACUUGAGUGCAGAAGAGGAAAGUGGAAUUCCAUGUGUAGCGGUGAAAUGCGCAGAGAUAUGGAGAACACCAGUGGCGAAGGCGACUUUCUGGUCUGUAACUGACGCUGAUGUGCGAAAGCGUGGGGAUCAAACAGG